rnacentral:rRNA from 1 species
GACGAACGCUGGCGGCGUGCCUAAUACAUGCAAGUAGAACGCUGAAGAGAGGAGCUUGCUCUUCUUGGAUGAGUUGCGAACGGGUGAGUAACGCGUAGGUAACCUGCCUUGUAGCGGGGGAUAACUAUUGGAAACGAUAGCUAAUACCGCAUAACAAUGGAUGACACAUUUCAUUUAUUUGAAAGGGGCAAUUGCUCCACUACAAGAUGGACCUGCGUUGUAUUAGCUAGUAGGUGAGGUAACGGCUCCCCUAGGCGACGAUACAUAGCCGACCUGAGAGGGUGAUCGGCCACACUGGGACUGAGACACGGCCCAGACUCCUACGGGAGGCAGCAGUAGGGAAUCUUCGGCAAUGGGGGCAACCCUGACCGAGCAACGCCGCGUGAGUGAAGAAGGUUUUAGGAUCGUAAAGCUCUGUUGUAAGUCAAGAACGAGUGUGAGAGUGGAAAGUUCACACUGUGACGGUAGCGGACCAGAAAGGGACGGCUAACUACGUG